rnacentral:rRNA from 1 species
CGAACGCUGGCAGCGUGGAUUAGGCAUGCAAGUCGAACGGGAUCCGAGUGGUAGCAAUAUCGCUUGGUGAGAGUGGCGGAAGGGCGAGGAACACGUGGGCAACCUGUCUUGGAGGUGGGGAAAACCGCUGGAAACGGCGGCUAAUACCGAAUGUAGCGCCCGCUCGCAUGAGCGGAGCGCCAAAGGGGGCGAAAGCUCCCCCUCCCCGAGGGGCCCGCGCACCAUCAGCUAGUCGGCGGGGUAACGGCCCACCGAGGCUUACGGUUAGCUGGUCUGAGAGGAUGGCCAGCCGCACUGGGACUGAGAUACUGCCCAGACUCCUACGGGAGGCUGCAGUCGAGGAUCAUUUGCAAUGGGCGAAAGCCUGACAAUGCGACGCUGCGUGGAGGAUGAAGGCCCUCGGGUUGUAAACUCCUGUCAUGGGGGAAAAGGAAACCCUGCCCAAUACGCAGGGAAUUUGAUGGUACCCCAAGAGGAAGCGACGGCUAACUCUGUGCCAGCCGCCGC